UACGUAGGCAGCGAGCGUUGUUCGGAGUUACUGGGCGUAAAGAGUGCGUAGGCGGUUUUCUAAGUUUUGGUGUGAAAUCUCCCGGCUUAACUGGGAGGGUGCGCCGAAGACUGGAAGGCUUGAGUAUGGGAGAGGUAAGCGGAAUUCCUGGUGUAGCGGUGAAAUGCGUAGAUAUCAGGAGGAACACCUGCGGUGUAGACGGCUUACUGGACCAUAACUGACGCUGAGGCACGAAAGCGUGGGUAGCAAACAGG
rnacentral:rRNA from 1 species